rnacentral:rRNA from 1 species
CAGCCGCGCGGUAAUACGUAGGUGGCAAGCGUUGUCCGGAAUUAUUGGGCGUAAAGGGCUCGCAGGCGGUUUCUUAAGUCUGAUGUGAAAGCCCCCGGCUCAACCGGGGAGGGUCAUUGGAAACUGGGAAACUUGAGUGCAGAAGAGGAGAGUGGAAUUCCACGUGUAGCGGUGAAAUGCGUAGAGAUGUGGAGGAACACCAGUGGCGAAGGCGACUCUCUGGUCUGUAACUGACGCUGAGGAGCGAAAGCGUGGGGAGCGAACAGGAUUAGAUACCCGUGUAGUCCCUGUCUCUUAUACA